GGGAAUUGUAAUUUGAAGAGAUUUGGGUCCGGCCGGCAGGGGUUAAGUCCACUGGAAAGUGGCGCCACAGAGGGUGACAGCCCCGUGAACCCCUUCAACGCCCUCAUCCCAGAUCUCCAAGAGUCGAGUUGUUUGGGAAUGCAGCUCUAAGUGGGUGGUAAAUUCCAUCUAAAGCUAAAUACCGGCGAGAGACCGAUAGCGAACAAGUACAGUGAUGGAAAGAUGAAAAGCACUUUGAAAAGAGAGUGAAAAAGUACGUGAAAUUGUUGAAAGGGAAGGGCUUGCAAGCAGACACUUAACUGGGCCAGCAUCGGGGCGGCGGGGAGCAAAACCACCGGGGAAUGUACCUUUCGAGGAUUAUAACCCCGGCCCUUACUCCCACACCACCCCGAGGCCUGCAAUCUAAGGAUGCUGGCGUAAUGGUUGCAAGUCGCCCGU
rnacentral:rRNA from 2 species